UGAAAUUUACAGAAGGAACACUAAAAG
rnacentral:piRNA from 1 species